GUGAGGCUGAAGGAAGAACCAGUAGAAGGGACUUAACUGGGUCACGUUCUCUGAAGCUGCCGCAUUUCUUGAGUGUGCCCAUUUGGGCUGGAUUUCGAAGAGGAAGCCCUUUGCAGUCAUGAACUGCGUGCGGGAACCCAGGCUGUGUUCAAAUUCCUCCUGAAGAAAGAAAUAAUAACGAGAAACAGGCUGUGGAAAAGAAUGUAGUUAGUGUCUUAAAGAUGGGCAAAUAUUCAUUCUCAUUUGUCCCUUUAUGUGAAACAGAUUUUUUAAAAGGCAAUUGGAGUAGCUAACAACAUCCAGAGCCCUGCUGAUUCGAGUGGGGCUGAGGGUGGGGGCUCCCCUCGGCCCACACGACUAAUCAGACCCAAGAAAAGAGGUGCUUUCCCUUCAGAAGGCCCUGCUCUGAGCGGCCCCUCUUCCCCGACCCACUCCUUCCAAGACGCAGUACUCGGCAUAGGACGCCCACCUGCCCGCCUUGCGCGGGGCUGACCUGGACAUCCCUGCCCGGGGCUCACACCCCUGCAGGACUGGGGGUAGAUGGAGCCAAAGAGGAUGUCCCCCAGGCUCUACAGACUCAGCAACUUGGGGUGGAGAAUGAGAGUGGAUCAGUCAUUGGAUUGGCAAGUCAUUUAACACAUUUUUUUUUAACAUGAAAACAGAUUAAUAGAGCAGAGGGCAAAAUCUGCUUGAGUUUGAAAAAAUAAACCAGGAGACUUGAGAGAAGUGAAGGGGAGUGGGUGACGGGAGCCCAUGCUGGGGUGCUUCCUCCUGGGCUGGGCUCUUGAGGGUCGUGGAGGGGCGGCUCGGGAGGGACUGACUUCCGGUUUCGUCCUCAGCCAGCCCAGGACCUGGCCCGUGGCGAGGGUUCCAUAAACCUUUGUGACUUUGAGUUUGCUUUUUUGUGGUGGUAAAACUUACCCAAAGUGUACCAUUUUAAACCUUUUAAAGUGUACGGUUCGGUGGCGUUAAGUCAUCGAGCUGUUGUUUUUUGUUUUUAUUGGGAUGUAGCUGAUUUACAGCGUGGUGGUCCCCGAGUUUUAAGAGUGAGCUCUGGAAGAUUCAGGAACCGGACGCGAAAAAAGUGGGCCUUGCUGUGUUGUGGCGUUUUACGGUUGAAAGUGCUUUCCCACCUGUUCCUGCUUCUGUGAUCGGGAGGUGGUGGUACCCUCAUUUUGCAGAUGAGAAAAGUGUCGUUGAAAGAGACUACGGUUGAAGC
ensembl:lncRNA